UGGGGAAUAUUGGACAAUGGGGGCAACCCUGAUCCAGCGAUGCCGCGUGUGCGAAGAAGGCCUGCGGGUUGUAAAGCACUUUGGUUGGGGAAGAAGGUUGGGCGUUGAAUAGAUGCCUGAAUUGACGUUACCCAAAGAACAAGCACCGGCUAACUCUGUGCCAGCAGCCGCGGUAAUACAGAGGGUGCAAGCGUUGUUCGGAAUCAUUGGGCGUAAAGGGCGUGUAGGCGGUAUGACAAGUCACUUGUGAAAUCUCUGGGCUUAACCCAGAACGGCCAAGUGAUACUGUCGCGCUAGAGUGCAGAAGGGGCAAUCGGAAUUCUUGGUGUAGCGGUGAAAUGCGUAGAUAUCAAGAGGAACACCUGAGGUGAAGACGGGUUGCUGGGCUGACACUGACGCUGAGGCGCGAAAGCCAGGGGAGCAAACGGGAUUAGAUACCCUCGUAGUCCCUGAGCGGGCUGGCAAGGCGCAU
rnacentral:rRNA from 1 species